rnacentral:rRNA from 1 species
AUUGAACGCUGGCGGCAUGCCUUACACAUGCAAGUCGAACGGUAACGGGCCUUCGGGUGCCGACGAGUGGCGAACGGGUGAGUAAUGUAUCGGAACGUACCUUUCAGUGGGGGAUAACGUAGCGAAGGUUACGGUAAUACCGCAUAGUCUGUGAGCAGGAAAGCAGGGGAACGCAAGACCUUGCGCUGAUUGAGCGGCCGAUAUCAGAUUAGGUAGUUGGGGGGGUAAAGGCUCACCAAGGCGACGAUCUGUAGCGGGUCUGAGAGGAUGAUCCGCCACACUGGAACUGAGACACGGUCCAGACUCCUACGGGAGGCAGCAGUGGGGAAUUUUGGACAAUGGGGGCAACCCUGAUCCAGCCAUGCCGCGUGAGUGAAGAAGGCCUUCGGGUUGUAAACCUCUUUCGGCCGGGAAGAAAUCGUAUCAGCUAAUACCUGGUGCGGAUGACGGUACCGGCAUAAGAAGCACCGGCUAACUACGUGCCAGCAGCCGCCGUAAUAC